rnacentral:rRNA from 1 species
GACGAACGCUGGCGGCGUGCUUAACACAUGCAAGUCGAACGGUGAAGCGCCUUCCUUUUUGGUGGGUGUGGAUGAGUGGCGAACGGGUGAGUAACACGUGAGUAACCUGCCCCCUUCUUCUGGAUAACCGCAUGAAAGUGUGGCUAAUACGGGAUAUUCUGGGUCUGUCGCAUGAUGGGUCUGGGAAAGAUAUUGUUUCGGUGGGGGAUGGGCUCGCGGCCUAUCAGCUUGUUGGUGGGGUGAUGGCCUACCAAGGCGGUGACGGGUAGCCGGCCUGAGAGGGUGGACGGUCACACUGGGACUGAGACACGGCCCAGACUCCUACGGGAGGCAGCAGUGGGGAAUAGUGCACAAUGGGCGCAAGCCGGAUGCAGCGACGCCGCGUGAGGGAUGGAGGCCUUCGGGUGGUGAACCUCUUUCGCAAGUGAAGCAGGCCUGCCUCGUUUGUGGGUGGGUUGACGGUAGCUGGAUAAGAAGCGCCGGCUAACUACGG